CCCCACCCAAAUCCCAUCUUGAAUUGUGAUCUGAAUUGCAAUCCCCACGUGUUGGGGGAAGGACUUUGUGGGAGUUGAUUAGAUCUUGGGGUGGUUCCCAUCUGCUGUUCUUAUGAUAGUGAAUUCUCAGGAGAUCUGAUAAUUUUAUAAAGGAUUUUCCCCCACUUCACUCUGCACUUCUAUCUUCUGCUGCCAUGUGAAGGACAUGUUUGCUUCCCCUUCUGCCGUUAUUGCAAAUUCCCUGAGACCUCCCCAGCCAUGCAGAACUGUUAGUCAAUUAAGCCUCAUUCCAUUAUAAAUUGCCCAGUUUCAGGCAGUUCUUCACAGCAGCAUGAAAAGGGACUAAUACAAUACUCUUAUAUGAUGAAAGUAGUUGAAACAGCAAGUUCUCUCCUUUCCGAAUAUAUGUCCUGAGACUAAACUUCUUUGAUUUCUCCAUGGAGGGGAUAGGACAUUGGGCCGAUCUCAUUGCUCCCAGCCUAGCAGGCAUCAGAACCUUAGAAGCCAUGAUUUCACUCAGUGAGUCACUGUCACAUUGGCACAUCCUAUUCCCUGUUGAUGGUGCCACCUUUUACACAAAGGCACUCAGCACAUCCUGCACUGGCAAUGAGAUGAGUCUCCCUGGCUGCCCCUUCCUCUAUGCGACCUCACAAUGAUUGCAUUGGAAGGAUUAUGACAGCAACUUCCUGCAGUCCCAUGGUGCCCAACAAAUUGAGGGUGACUCAGUGCCUCAGACAAGGAGGAGGGCAUCCCAGGAGAAGGCAGAGUCCAGGAGGCGGAUGUUGGGAAGCAAAUCCUGAACUCAUCAAGUCCCAUAGCCCCUUUGUCUAUGGACCUUCUGCCAGCAUCUUCUGUAAGACUAUUAAAAUGCACCAACCCAAGGUCUCCAGUGCUGCUGAGUCCCCCGUGUCACCUCCUGCAACUGCCACAGUUGUCAACAGCUCAAAUCCUAGAGACCUUCUUCAUUAGGUCAAUGAGUAUCUAAACUUUAAAAAAU
rnacentral:lncRNA from 1 species